rnacentral:rRNA from 1 species
AGAGUUUGAUCAUGGCUCAGAUUGAACGCUGGCGGAAUGCUUUACACAUGCAAGUCGAGCGGCAGCACGGGGGCAACCCUGGUGGCGAGCGGCGAACGGGUGAGUAAUACAUCGGAACAUGCCCAGUCGUGGGGGAUAACACUUCGAAAGAAGUGCUAAUACCGCAUACGUCCUGAGGGAGAAAGCGGGGGAUCGCAAGACCUCGCGCGAUUGGAGUGGCCGAUGUCAGAUUAGCUAGUUGGUGGGGUAAAGGCCUACCAAGGCAACGAUCUGUAGCUGGUCUGAGAGGAUGAUCAGCCACACUGGGACUGAGACACGGCCCAGACUCCUACGGGAGGCAGCAGUGGGGAAUUUUGGACAAUGGGGGCAACCCUGAUCCAGCCAUUCCGCGUGAGUGAAGAAGGCCUUCGGGUUGUAAAGCUCUUUCGGCAGGAACGAAACGGUGAGCUCUAACAUAGCUUGCUAAUGACGGUACCUGAAGAAGAAGCACCGGCUAACUACGUGCCAGCAGCCGCGGUAAUACGUAGGGUGCGAGCGUUAAUCGGAAUUACUGGGCGUAAAGCGUGCGCAGGCGGUUGUGUAAGACAGGUGUGAAAUCCCCGGGCUUAACCUGGGAACUGCGCUUGUGACUGCACAGCUAGAGUAUGGCAGAGGGGGGUGGAAUUCCACGUGUAGCAGUGAAAUGCGUAGAGAUGUGGAGGAACACCGAUGGCGAAGGCAGCCCCCUGGGCCAAUACUGACGCUCAUGCA